CAAGUCCUCCUUGCGCCGCCACUAGUAUAAGACAGCACCGGAUCUCCCCAAACCUCCCUAAUUUUUUGCCAACAGCAUAUCGAUCUUGUUCUUGGCUGCGUGGUUGAGAGUGCCGAUAGUCUCCAUUCCAGAAAUUUUCGGGUUGAAUUGGAUCCCAAACCCCACUCCUCAGGAAGUCCGCCGGCCAUCGCCAUGGGCAGCCGGUUUGUGAAUCUGUUGGCCAGGAGCUGCAACGGCGGCCCCAGACACUUCAGCCUGCACCGUAUGAAUCCCGCAAAUUUGUUUCACCCAACCAGGUCAGCGGUUCCAGCGGUUCAACCGUUAGCAGAUGCUCCUCUGCCCCCCCCUGCUCUAUCCUUCGGCUGGCCCGGCAAGAAGGGCGAACUCGCGUGGAUGAAUUUCAUGGCUUUCGGCCGCACCGGGAACAAUUUUUUGGCCGUGGACCAGAUAGGCAGGACCUUCUUUUACGACACUGACUCGCGUUCGCUCCGCACUGGAAUGCCCAUGAUGUGCAAGCCCAUCAUGGACCCGAUCUCCAUUGCCGUUGGUGACAGCCUCUACGUCAUGAGCGGUAACCCUGGCCCGUCGCCUGGGAAGCAUUGCUUCCAGGCUCUCAUCCACGGCCGCCUUCCUGCAAGCGACACCAAUGAUUGGUCCUGGUAUUCGCUUCAGCCGCCACCUCCCUUCGUGAACGACAUUCCCCGCUUCCAUGAAGAUGAGGUCAAAUCCAGUUGCGGUGACGUUCCAGCCCCCUAUGAAAUCGGUGCCUACACUGUGGUUGGCGAAUCACAGAUCUGGGUAUCCACAGCAGGUGCCGGCACAUACUCGUAUGACACUGUGAGUGGUGCAUGGAGCAAGGUAGGCAACUGGUCACUGCCGUUCAGAGGCCGUGCCGAGUACAUCCCUGAGCACAACCUCUGGUUUGGCUUCACACCCAACAAUUUGCAGCUGUGCACAUCGGACCUCACUGCCUCAUCUGAGGUGAGGCCGCCCGUUCUGCAGAAUAUGUGGACAGACGUGGUCAGGCCAAAAAAUUGGACCCUGAGAGAUGCCAGCCUCGUGCCGCUGGGCUCUGGCAAAGUCUGCAUUGCCAGGUUCUUCGUAACUCAUUCAGACAACUUUGAGGAUAUGUCAGCCUAUAAGAAAAGAGAGAAUUUUGCUGUUCUCGAGGGUGUGGAAGUGUUGAAGGCUGGGUGGGCUCACCUCCGGAUGGUUAAGCACAAGUCGGAGCGUUACGUCUUCGGCCGUGACCUUGUCAUACCGCUCUGAUAAUUUCUACUUCAUAUAUGGCAGGUGAGUUCUCUUAGAUCAAAGACCAACGGCUCGCCUGUAUAUUGUCCUACUCCCUCUGUCCCAGUGACCAGCAGCUAAUGGCAAGAAAAGCGAUACUUACAAAGGCCCAUCGCCCAUGCUUCUAACGGACCUCCGGAAGCUCACCUUUGGUCACAGUUAGUAACUACAUCACAUGAAACUUCUUAGCCAAGUCUAUGUCCACCUGAAACAGGAUCUAGAUUGUAGAGCAAAGACCUGUAAAUCAUUCCAAGCUUUAAAACUGUAGGGAGCAUCAAGAACCUUGAAAUUUAUGUUGGCGGCAGGAAAUACCUAAAUAUGAAAUUUACUGUUCAGUACUAGAUCUAAUACUUCCUAAUCUCUGCAAAACGUUUAGUUGAUUAUUUUGGACCAUACCUUGUUUGGUUGAGCUAUGUGAAUGAUUCUGCAGAAUGAUCUCUGUGCACUCAAGAUCCGGGUCGCCAAUCCCAUCCUGUGAACUGUAUGUCUGCAGAUAAUUCACUGCUCAAAACCAGAGCUAACACUUUUAAUGUAUGUAAAGAAUUCUCAGGUAAUUCUGCAGUAGCUAUUACCUUUACAUUUCUGUUCUGAAUUCUAUGAGCGAUUGUUAGACAUGUAUCUCCCCAUUCAGCAUCAGGCUUGCUCUUUCCUUGGACUCCAUUAAGGAAGCACAUGUGUCUCACACAUCCCACAGAGAGUGGACAACAGGCUCCUCUACACAGGUGAUCUUCGGGUUUGAUCCAUUUCAACAUCCGGUGAUCCCAAAGAAUUUGAUAAAUUUGGCAAAGUAAUCUCCAGAACUUGAGAUGCAUUAGCCUCUGAUGAUCUUCCUUGUAUAUAUGAGACCCAUCUUCUUAAGCUUCCUUAGGUAUGACAAAACAUGACAUUCUGAAUUUCUGCAGUAAAUCAGCUGCUUUUCAGGGUCAUCUGGAUUGAACUCGCUAUCACCGUAAUAAUAAUAUUGUGUCAGCACCAGGCUGCGCAUCAUUACCCCAUCCGUCUGACCAAAUUUCAGAUCUUCUGUCAUGCCAUGCAUCAACAGCUCAAAUGCAUUGAACAGAGCUUGUCCUCGUUCAUCUUGAGGCAUAGCACUUGUAUGGAUUAGAAUAGCUGAGCCCAUGGUUUCCUCAUUUGUUCCAGCAAGUCAUACACUUCUGGUAACCGAACAGAGUUCUUACAUCCAUGAGAUAGGAUAUGAUCCAACACAUUAGCUGCUAAAAUUGUGUCGACUGCAGAGCUUGUCAAGCCUCAGCAAUGUGCCGUCAGCAAUUUGUACCCUACCAAAUUGGUCGCUGGAGAAUGAAUCAAUUGUAACAGCCAACAGAACAUUGUGGCCACCACAAAAACGGUAGCCUACAAUGCUCGGUUAAAUGGGAUUAAGUGGUACCGCAAAGAUUGGAAGUAAUCAGAUGGCAUAGAGGCCUCGGUUCACGUCGACUCGGCGCACACAGCUGGCAUGUCAGGUGAUGGCGCGAUGAAAGCUGCGUGGGGUCGUUCCACCGCGUACUGGGACGCUGAAGCUCUCUCUGGCCCACAAAUCAGUGACGUUGGUCUACCGGGGUUGGUCUAUGCAACGAAUUCCGUAUAGAAGGAAGUGCCGUGCAGCUGGAUGGCUGUGCUGGGCACUAGUUUCCCGCCAAAAUUUCAUUCGCUGGGAGGAGGUUUUUUUUUUUUUUGAGAAUAUUCACUGGGAGGAGGUGGUUUCAGUUUGUAUCCUAUCCUCCUUUUCCCAGUUCCAUUCGCUCACUUUCAAAUACUCCCUCCGUUCCUAAAUAUUUCUCUUUUUAGAGAUUUCAAAUGUACUACCACAUACGGAUGUAUAUAGACAUAUUUUAGAGUAGAUUCACUCAUUUUG